GAUGAACGCUGGCGGCGUGCCUAAUACAUGCAAGUCGAGCGAACAGACGAGGAGCUUGCUCCUCUGACGUUAGCGGCGGACGGGUGAGUAACACGUGGAUAACCUACCUAUAAGACUGGGAUAACUUCGGGAAACCGGAGCUAAUACCGGAUAAUAUAUUGAACCGCAUGGUUCAAUAGUGAAAGACGGUUUUGCUGUCACUUAUAGAUGGAUCCGCGCCGCAUUAGCUAGUUGGUAAGGUAACGGCUUACCAAGGCAACGAUGCGUAGCCGACCGGAGAGGGUGAUAGGCCACACUAGAACGGAAACACGGUCAAGAGUACUAAGGUACGCAGCAGUAGCGAAUCGGACGCAACGGGCGAAAGCAUGACGGAGCAACGCCGCGUGAGUGAUGAAGGUCUUCGGAUCGUAAAGCUCUCUUACGAGUUAAGAACCAAUGUCUAAUGAACUAUGCACGGCUUGACGGUACCGAAUCAGAAAGCCACGGCUAACUACGUG
rnacentral:rRNA from 1 species